rnacentral:rRNA from 1 species
AUUGAACGCUGGCGGCAGGCCUAAAACAUGCAAGUCGAGCGAGCGACGGACGGGGGAGUAAUGUCUGGGAAACUGCCGGAUGGAGGGGGAUAACUACUGGAAAAGGUAGCUAAUACCGCAUAACAUCAGAUGUGCCCAGAUGGGAUUAGCUAGUGGGUGGGGUAACGGCUCACCUAGGGGGCGAUCCUUAGCUGGUCUGAGAGGAUGACCAGCCACACUGGAACUGAGACACGGCCCAGACUCCUACGGGAGGCAGAAGUGGGGAAUAUUGCACAAUGGGCGAAAGCCUGAUGCAGCCAUGCCGCGUGGGUGAAGAAGGUCUUCGGGUUGUAAAGCACUUUCAGCGGGGAGGCGUUACCAGCAGAAGAAGCACCGGCUAACUACGUGCCAGCAGCCGCGGUAAUGC